UAUAUGUUAAUUAAAUAGAUUAUUGUGGUGGAUAAUGACGUGCUAGUUGAACCACCUCCUUAAUUCUUGGCUAGAUGGAUCAACUUGCUGCAUGGAUAGUUCGUUUUUAAACUGACGUGAUGCUUCUUUGUCACUUUUUUUUGUGAAUUGGUUUUUCUCAAACAUUGAAUGAGAGAGCAUGGAGUAUAUGCUAAUUAGUAUCUCGUAGCUAAGAUGGAAAAAAGAGAGUAUGAAGUAUGUAGUAUGUAAAUAUUUUGAAUUGUACUUCCAGGUUGAGUAUAUGGUAUAUCCACAGAAUAAAACAUUUUGAGGGUUGGGUAUACGUGUAGUAUACACUCCCUUCAGGAGGUCGUAAUAUAUUGUAUUUUUUAAUAGAGUAUGUGUAUUACUUGAAGUAUGGAGUAUGUUCACAAGCGUUGUAUGGAG
rnacentral:lncRNA from 1 species